CAUCUUUUGAAAUGAACAUGUUUUUAACACUGACCGCUGAAGAGGUAGGACGUGUGCAAAGAAUAAUUUAAAGCUGAAGUCAUCUGUGCCACGUCACACAACCUUCGAGGAGCCAAGAAAAGCUACUUAUCAGCGAAGUCACAGGAAAAAAUCAUGCCAGACCCCUGCAAGUGUGGCGAUGAGUGCAAGUGUGGCCCUGACUGCAAGUGCGGCCCCGAAUGCAAGAACAAGGACUCUUCCAAGGCCUGUGAGUCCGGUGAUUGUGAGCCUUGUGAGAAGGAGUGCAAGACUGACCACGAGCACCACAAGCAUCCUCACUGAGCAGUGAAGUCUGAGUGCUGAGGACCUACACGGUAACUCUGGUGCAGACGGACCAGAUAAUGACAAACAGCUUUCACAUCUCACCAAGCUAUAAAGGAGGAGUCCAAGAAACACACUUUUUUCAAUAUUCCUUCUAUUAUUCACACUUGAUCUAGACAACUAGACGAAAACAUACAACACAUUUUUCUUGUUUUUUUAAGU